rnacentral:rRNA from 1 species
UACGUAGGGUGCAAGCGUUGUCCGGAAUUAUUGGGCGUAAAGAGCUCGUAGGCGGUCUGUCGCGUCUGCUGUGAAAACUCAGGGCUUAACCCUGAGCUUGCAGUGGGUACGGGCAGACUAGAGUGUGGUAGGGGAGACUGGAAUUCCUGGUGUAGCGGUGGAAUGCGCAGAUAUCAGGAGGAACACCGAUGGCGAAGGCAGGUCUCUGGGCCAUUACUGACACUGGAGAAGCGAAAGCAUGGGGAGCGAACAGG